AUAAACAAGCAGUAAGUGUUAGUAUCAUUAAAUGGUACAUAAGAACUUUCAAACGGCAUCUAUUACUGCGAUUCAUUUCGGCUGUUUAUGUCAUGUCCGCAGUAAAAAAACGAAGAAUAACGAAACGUAGACAAUUUGAAAUAAUGCAAUCGAUAUUACACGAAAUUAUAAUUUAUCGAAUCCAAACUUGGUGGAGAAGACAGAUAAAAGCGGAGAUACUGCGACAAGCAAUCAGACAGUGGAGAGCAGCGCUUAUAGUAAAAAAAUGCUACUUACAAUAUUUAUCUAGACUUAUUAGACAACGAAAAAGUCUUUUUGCUGCUCUCAUAAGUCAAUUUUGGUUUAAAAAACAAAAGAUACAAGCUGAAAAACAUCUUAUUAAGCUACAAAGACAAUGGAGAGCUAUAAACAUUAGAAAGAAAUUUGUACAGUUUCGCUUGAAUAGUAUUUUAGCACAAGCAGGGAUUAGAAGAUAUUUAAUUAGAAAAGAUGUUAACAUGAGAACCUGGAUCGUAAAGCAUUUCAGUUCCAGCAUUUGGUUAUCGACACUGAAAGGAUAUUCUGAAGAACUAGAUAGACAAAUGGGAUUAAAUGAUUUUCUUAAGCAAAUGGAUGAACGGAAUGAUAAAUGGGGUGAAACUAACGAUACUCAUAUAUCUGAAAUCAGCAUUUCAACAGAAGUUAGAGAUAAAACUAUAGAUCAGCUUACUUUAUGCAAUCUGACAGAUCCAACCAAUAAGUACUAUAAGCUAGUUCUCGCUGCUUGCGAACAAACAUCAGUGAUUCCGUUUUUCAAUGUAUUUCCUAAAAGAAAUUACCGUCAGUAUUGGAGGAAGAUCGGAGAAGGUUCUUAUGGAGAUGUAUAUGCAAUGAUGGAUGAGUAUGGUAUUCCUCAUCAGUUAUAUAAAAUAGUGCCGAUAGGAGGUUUCCAUCCAUUAACUGGAAAAGCGUUGGAGAAUUUGGACACAGUUUAUCCAGAAAUUAUAUCGUCCAUUGUUUUAAGUUCUUUAUCCAGCAAUGAAAUCAACAGAACUUCAGGAUUUACCCAAGUAAGCAAAGUCAGCUGCGUGUCUGGACCUAUUCCAGAAUAUCUUCGUACAGCUAGGAAAAUGUAUAAUUUGAGAAAGAAAUCAACAACUAAAUGCCCUAAUGAAUUUCCAGACGAUCAAAUUUUCAUUGUUUAUAAAAUGAAAUAUGCUGGGCAACAGAUCACAUCGUUUUCGGAAUUUCGCGUGGAACAAGCUAGCAGCGUUUUGCAACAAGUGGCUUGUAGUAUUGCAGCUGCAGAAUUAGAAAUUAGAUGGUCGCAACAUAAAUAUUGCUUCACAUGGUGUUCUGGCAACUAUCAUCGAUUACACUUUUAGCCGUUUAAAUUAUGGUAAUAAAGUUAUAUUUCGAGAUCUUUCAUGCCAUCUUUUUGACCGAAUUCAAACAGAACACAAAAUUUAUAGAAAAAUGCGUCAAUAUAAUCAAAACAACUGGGGCGUAUUCUGGCCAUACAGUAAUGUCAUGUGGCU
rnacentral:misc_RNA from 1 species